AGUAACGCGUGGGUAACCUGCCUUAUACAGGGGAGUAACAGUCAGAAAUGGCUGCUAAUACCGCAUAAGCGCACAGAGCUGCAUGGCUCGGUGUGAAAAACUCCGGUGGUAUAAGAUGGACCCGCGUUGGAUUAGCUUGUUGGUGGGGUAACGGCCCACCAAGGCGACGAUCCAUAGCCGGCCUGAGAGGGUGAACGGCCACAUUGGGACUGAGACACGGCCCAG
rnacentral:rRNA from 1 species